GGAUUAGAUACCCUGGUAGUCCACGCCGUAAACGAUGUGUGCUAGUUGUCGGGCCCUUAGGGUUCGGUGACGCAGAGAAAUCAUUAAGCACACCGCCUGGGGAGUACGGCCGCAAGGUUAAAACUCAAAGGAAUUGACGGGGACCCGCACAAGCGGUGGAGCAUGUUCCUUAAUUCGAAGCAACGCGAAGAACCUUACCCACUCUUGACAUCCUUCUUGGGGCUUUCAGAGAUGAUUGCUUUCGGUUCGGCCGGGGAAGUGACAGGUGCUGCAUGGCUGUCGUCAGCUCGUGCUG
rnacentral:rRNA from 1 species